rnacentral:rRNA from 1 species
GCCAGCAGACAUACCAUCUGCACCUCAGACUAGGUAAUCCACCUGAAGCUAAGCGGGUUUGGGCCUGGCCACUACUUGGAGAGGAGACCAACUAGGAAAGCUGUGUUGCUGCUGGAA